UGGGUGGCUAUAAACUCUUCAAAAGGGACAGGACAAGGAAGGAGAGGCAGUGGGAUAGCUUUGUAGCAACAGAAGACUGUAUACAAAGAUAUUUCAAGCUACUCUUUGCUCAAACUCAGAAAGAUCUACAUAUGAUAUAAGUAAUGGCAGUAAUUUCAGAACUCUAUGCCAGAGCAUGGAGAGUUUGUACAUGCUGCUUCAGACUAGCACCCUGUAAGUAGAAAGGCCAUAUCUGCACUGCACAGU